UAUUACCGCGGCUGCUGGGCGGGGCGGGGGCACGGGGGGACUCCUACGGGAGGCAGCAGUGGGGAAUAUUGCACAAUGGGCGCAAGCCUGAUGCAGCCAUGCCGCGUGUAUGAAGAAGGCCUUCGGGUUGUAAAGUACUUUCAGCGGGGAGGAAGGCGAUGUGGUUAAUAACCGCGUCGAUUGACGUUACCCGCAGAAGAAGCACCGGCUAACUCCGUGCCAGCAGCCGCGGUAAUA
rnacentral:rRNA from 1 species